UGGACUUGGGGGGACGAUGAUAGCCCCCCAUUCAAGGUCAUCCAGAGAUGGACUUGGGGGGACGAUGAUAGCCCCCCAUUCAAGGUCAUCCAGAGAUGGACUUGGGGGGACGAUGAUAGCCCCCCAUUCAAGGUCAUCCAGAGAUGGACUUGGGGGGACGAUGAUAGCCCCCCAUUCAAGGUCAUCCAGAGAUGGACUUGGGGGGACGAUGAUAGCCCCCCAAGAUGGACUUGGGGGACAAUGAUAGCCCCCCAUUCAAGGUCAUCCAGAGAUGGACUUGGGGGGACGAUGAUAGCCCCCCAUUCAAGGUCAUCCAGAGAUGGACUUGGGGGGACGAUGAUAGCCCCCCAAGAUGGACUUGGG